UGGCGAACGGGUUAGUAACGCGUGGGAACAUACACAGCACAGGGGGAUAACCAUUGGAAACGAUGGCUAAUACCGCAUACGCCCUAUUGGGGAAAGAUUUAUCGGUGUUGGAUUGGCCCGCGUUAGAUUAGCUAGUUGGUGGGGUAAUGGCUCACCAAGGCGACGAUUUAUGGCUGGUUUGAGAGGAUGAUCAGCAACACUGGAACUGAGACACGGUCCAGACUCCUACGGGAGGCAGCAGUCGGGAAUAUUGUGCAAUGGGGGCAACCCUGACACAGCCAUGCCGCGUGAGUGAAGAAGGCCUUAGGGUUGUAAAGCUCUUUCAGAUGUGAGGAUGAUGACGACAGCAUCAGAAGAAGCUCCGGCUAACUUCGUGCCAGCAGCCGCGGUAAUACGAAGGGAGCUAGCGUUGUUCGGAAUUACUGGGCGUAAAGGGCGUGUAGGCGGAUUAUCAAGUUAGGGGUGAAAUCCCGGGGCUCAACCUCGGCACUGCCUUUAAGACUGAUAAUCUAGAGUAUGUGAGGGGAUAAUG
rnacentral:rRNA from 1 species